AACAGUGACAGAGAGGCACAAUGAGCUCCCAGACUCUUCUUUUAUGGGCAGCCAUGCUCGUUUUUCAGGUUUGUACUGGUCAGAUUGUUCUUGAUCAGCCUCCAUCACAGUCCACAACUCCAGGACAGAGCGUCUCUCUGAAAUGUAAAGCCCGUACCUCUGUAGGGAGCUGUCUGAACUGGUACCAUCAGAGACCUGGCCAGGUACCCCGGCUCCUGAUUUACUACGGCACCAACCGUCAAUCUGGUGUUCCAGACAGGUUCUCUGGCAGCUCUUCAGGGACAGAUUUUAGCCUGACAAUUAGCCGUUUUGAACCAGAAGAUGCAGGAUAUUACUACUGUCAGCAGUGUAGCCAGUGGCCUUUAACACAGUGA